GCCUGGCUGGCUCAGUUGGUUAAGCAUCUGACUUCAGCUCAGGUCAUGAUCUCAUGGUUCAUGGGUUUGAGCCCCAUGUCGGGCU
rnacentral:tRNA from 1 species